rnacentral:lncRNA from 1 species
UCAAAGUUUUUAGUGUUUAGUGUUAACAAAAUUUAGUGCCUAGUGUUGACAAAAUUCCCUACCUGACACAGUAUUUUGCCCAUAUAAGCAGAUUGAGAAUCUGAAUCUGCUCUGUUUGACUUGAAAGCAGAAGCCCUUAGGAAUCACACUCUGCAGUCAGGCACUAUUCUAUUACACACAGUGUAUCGGCAGGGCUGCAGUACAACAAGAGGUCAUCCCAAAUAUCACCAGGGACAUUCAGGGUCUAAAGCAAAUAUGUACAACUUCCUGGGGCCUCAGGCAGAGUCAUGCAGUGACUAAGGGAGGCAUGCAGUGACUAAGGGAAGAAGAGGCUGAGGCUAAAUAAGACUGGAAAUAUUCAAGUAAACCAUGCUCCCACCUCAUCCUCAAGAUAAAACGAGCUUUUCUUGGGGAAAAAGGACUGAAGGCUUCAUUUUCACACACACCACUGAGGUUUCAGGUGUUUAAGAGGUUGCCUUACCUUCUUUUCUUCUUUAGUGCUACCUACUAAUCUUCAUUUGAACCAGAUUUAUCUGACCGUAUUAAUAGAUUCAGGGUUUGAAAAAGGUCAGGACACAGUGAGAGCCUCAGUCAUUAGCCUAACAGUCUAAUUUUCUUUUCCAAAUAUAUUCAACUAUUUCCUUUAUUGUUGUAGAGCAUAAUGGAUAAAUGCACAGAUUUUGUUUCACCAUUUCUAACCAAAUCCACACAUACUCAAGUCCAACAAUCAGCCUUAUAGGAAAAGUCAGCCCUCCGUAUCUGGAGGUUUCACAUCCCAGGAAUACUGUAUUUUUAACCCAAGCUCGAGCAAAGGAAGAAAGGAGGGAGGGGUGGAAGCAUACCACAUUAUGGUGUAGUCUAAGGAAGUUUCAAUGAGGCCACUGGGGAGCCCCGUGACUCCCAGGAAUGGGCCUACUUUAGUAUCCCAACUAGUCACUAGCAAAUGCAGCAA